AUGCGCUCUGAUGAUGAGAAUGCCAAUAUUCCAAUGUUGCCAUCCAAGCUCCCCUGCCUCAGGCACUUGGAAAUCAUACUUGUAUCAAGAACGGUCAUAUUCCCAAGCGACUACAUCUUAUCUCUAGUUUCUUUUCUUGAUGCUUCUCCUACCUUGGAUACUUUUAUCCUUCGUGUUCAACAUUUCAGAUUGUACUAUAUUUUUGUUGAAAACCACAGUGGUGAUGACAAUGAGGACGACAAUGACGAUGAUGACGACGACGGUGGUGAUGAUGACGGUGACAUCGACGAUGAUGGUGGUGGUGCUGCUGCUGGAGAUGAUGAUGACGAUGACAACGACGAUGACGAUGACGACGACGAUGGUGAUAGCGAUAGUGAUGGUGAUGGUGAUGAUGAUAAUGAUGACCAUGACGACAAAUAUCCGAGGACGAAGAUGGAGUGUCAGCAUGACCACCUCAAGCGGGUGACAAUCACGGGCUUUCGACACUCCCUGAUCGAGCUCACCAUCCACAUCCUCAAGAGCGCACCAUCACUCGAGCGCUUGACGUUGGACACGACAAACGGCUAUGAUAGGAGGUUGGAUGGCAUUGGCAAGUGCCCUGCCUCGACGGAGAUUGGCAAAUGCUUGUACAUGAGCAAUACGGCUAUCACAGAAGCUCGUAUAGCUGCGGGGUUCAGCCGCAGAUACAUUGCACCGAGGGUUCCCUCGCAUGUUGAAUUUGCGGUUCUCGAGCCCUGCAGCCGAUGCCAUACCGGCAACCGCCGACGUUAG
rnacentral:rRNA from 1 species